GUUGGGUAGGGGAGCGUUCUGUAAGCCUGCGAAGGUGUACUGUGAGGUAUGCUGGAGGUAUCAGAAGUGCGAAUGCUGACAUAAGUAACGAUAAUGCGGGUGAAAAACCCGCACGCCGGAAGACCAAGGGUUCCUGUCCAACGUUAAUCGGGGCAGGGUGAGUCGACCCCUAAGGCGAGGCUGAAAAGCGUAGUCGAUGGGAAACGGGUUAAUAUUCCCGUACUGGUGGUAACUGCGAUGGGGGAACGGAGAAGGCUAGGUUGUCCGGGCGACGGUCGUCCCGGUUCAAGCAGGUAGGCAGAGUGAUUAGGCAAAUCCGGUCACUUAAUGCUGAGAUGUGAUGACGAACCACCAAGGUGGUGAAGCAAUUGAUGCCCCGCUUCCAGGAAAAGCCUCUAAGCUUCAGGUUACCAACAAUCGUACCCCAAACCGACACAGGUGGUCAGGUAGAGAAUACUCAGGCGCUUGAGAGAACUCGGGUGAAGGAACUAGGCAAAAUGGUGCCGUAACUUCGGGAGAAGGCACGCUGGCGGUAGGUAAAGUCCCUCGCGGACAGAGCUGAAGCCAGUCGAAGAUACCAGCUGGCUGCAACUGUUUAUUAAAAACACAGCACUGUGCAAACACGAAAGUGGACGUAUACGGUGUGACGCCUGCCCGGUGCUGGAAGGUUAAUUGAUGGGGUCAGCCGUAAGGCGAAGCUCCUGAUCGAAGCCCCAGUAAACGGCGGCCGUAACUAUAACGGUCCUAAGGUAGCGAAAUUCCUUGUCGGGUAAGUUCCGACCUGCACGAAUGGCGUAAUGAUGGCCAGGCUGUCUCCACCCGAGACUCAGUGAAAUUGAACUCGCUGUGAAGAUGCAGUGUACCCGCGGCAAGACGGAAAGACCCCGUGAACCUUUACUAUAGCUUGACACUGAACAUUGAGCCUUGAUGUGUAGGAUAGGUGGGAGGCUUUGAAGUGUGGACGCCAGUCUGCAUGGAGCCAACCUUGAAAUACCACCCUUUAACGUUUGAUGUUCUAACCUAGGCCCAUAAACUGGGUCGGGGACCGUGUCUGGUGGGUAGUUUGACUGGGGCGGUCUCCUCCUAAAGAGUAACGGAGGAGCACGAAGGUUGGCUAAGCAUGGUCGGACAUCAUGCGGUUAGUGCAAAGGCAUAAGCCAGCUUGACUGCGAGAGUGACGGCUCGAGCAGGUACGAAAGUAGGUCUUAGUGAUCCGGUGGUUCUGAAUGGAAGGGCCAUCGCUCAACGGAUAAAAGGUACUCCGGGGAUAACAGGCUGAUACCGCCCAAGAGUUCAUAUCGACGGCGGUGUUUGGCACCUCGAUGUCGGCUCAUCACAUCCUGGGGCUGAAGUAGGUCCCAAGGGUAUGGCUGUUCGCCAUUUAAAGUGGUACGCGAGCUGGGUUUAGAACGUCGUGAGACAGUUCGGUCCCUAUCUGCCGUGGGCGUUGGAAGAUUGAGAGGGGUUGCUCCUAGUACGAGAGGACCGGAGUGAACGCACCACUGGUGUUCGGGUUGUCAUGCCAAUGGCAUUGCCCGGUAGCUAAGUGCGGAAGAGAUAACCGCUGAAAGCAUCUAAGCGGGAAACUUGCCUCGAGAUGAGUCUUCCCUGUCACUUUAAGUGACCUAAAGGAACGUUUAAGACUAAGACGUUGAUAGGCUGGGUGUGUAAGCGUAGCGAUACGUUGAGCUAACCAGUACUAAUGAACCGUGAGGCUUAACCUGACAACACCGAAAGUGUUUUG
rnacentral:rRNA from 1 species